UCCGCCCCUUGAGGAGCUCGACUUUCCUGUUAAAAUACCCUGACUUUCCUGUCAAAAGAGCGCUAGAAAAUGCUGCCGCCGCGCCGGAGCCAGGCGGUGGUGACGGAGCGGACCCGAAACCUGCCGAGCCGCUGCGCCUCCCGCCUGCCCAAGUGCAUCCCCUCCCAGCCCCUUUCACAAGCGCAGGGGCUCAGCCGCAGCCCUCCCACCGGGCAGUGACAAGAGGAAACACGUGGUAGCCGGAGUAUUGGGUCCCGAGGUUAGGGAAACAAAACGUUUUUGCUUGGACCUCAGAUUGGCAGUAGGCAGCGGGGCUUUUCACCGUCCGGAUGAAAUACGGGGAAAUGGGAGUCGCCUGGGAUGGGCCCUGCAGCUCGCCCUGAGCGGGGCGUGCGGGCCCGUCUGGCCCGACGAGAGCAGGCGAGGUCCAGGCAGGCCCGAGCUCAGCAGGCUGACUGUCCGACCACGGCGCCUCGCCAGCAUUACAAGUGUUUUCUCCUGUAAAUUACAGACAGCUGGGACUUCUUUCCACAAGGUCUCAUCUGGAAUACAGUGGACAGAAGAGAUCAGAGGUACUGCAGAUCUAUAAUGGUUCUUCAAGCCUUAUUUAAUCUACAGCUGAGGAUGCUGAGCUGGACUUCAUCUCUUGAGUGAGAGUAGUGGGGAGCCCCAGCAGGUUCGCUCAUCACUUUCCAGCAGGCUGUUUUCAGGAUACAGAUCUGCACCACAUCAGAGCUGGGAGAGCCAGAAGGGCUGCUCUGGCAUGGAACUGCUGUGCAGAAUAUCCACGGGUGAAUUACACAGUGCAUGGUUGAGAGUGAUCUUGUUUGGCAUGUAGAAGCGCUGUCUUACUGCAAAUGCUAAAUAGUGAUGAUUUCCAGAUGCAUCAGUCAGUUUUCACAUGUUAUCUGUCUUACAUGAACAGGGUACUUUCUGUGCCACAGUGCAGUAGUCAGUAUCCUGGAAAUUACUGAGCCUGGCUUUCUCCACUGAUACAAAGAUGGCUCUGGUUGGGUCAGUUCUUUGUGUAGACCUGGAAAGCUCCAUCUGGCCUUGGAGAAGUUCUGCUGACAGCUCACCUGCUGGCACUGAACUCGGAUUAGACUGCUUGUUACUUGAAAUUCACAUGAACAGCUGUUGAAAUAGUCAUUAUGCAGUAUUAUCUACCAGAAUGUGUUUGCCCUUUAUAUGAAAAUUCUAAAUUAUUCAGUAAGUCUAUUUCUCUUUUAUAAACUGUGAUUUUCAUGUUGAGCAUAAUAGCAAAUGCUAUUAUUGUUUACUCUGAAGUGUCAGAUUAUAUGUAAAUAAAUAUGUAGACUCGAUAUUCACAUAAUGAAUUGUCAUACUGCCACUCUAUUCCAAUAAAGAAUAUUCUUUUACAGA